UACAGAGGUGGCAAGCGUUGUCCGGAUUUAUUGGGCGUAAAGAGCGUGUAGGCGGCCAGGUAGGUCUGCUGUGAAAACUCGAGGCUUAACCUCGAGCUGUCGGCGGAAACCAUCUGGCUAGAGUCCGGAAGAGGAGAAUGGAAUUCCCGGUGUAGCGGUGAAAUGCGCAGAUAUCGGGAAGAACACCCGUGGCGAAGGCGGUUCUCUGGGACGGUACUGACGCUGAGACGCGAAAGCGUGGGGAGCGAACAGG
rnacentral:rRNA from 1 species